CAGCCACUCGCCCUCCUCGGACUGGGCGGGCUCAGAGUCACAGAAUCAAAUAGCUGAGGGAAUACCUCUGAGCUCGUCGAGCCUUACCUUGGACCGAGCAUCACCGUGUCCAUCACACCAGGGCACUGAGUGCCCCGUCCGGUGUUACCUUAAACACCUCCCUGGGCAGCCCGUUUCAACGUCUGAUCACUCUUUCCGUGAAGAAAUUCCUCCUCGUGUCCAACUUAAACCUCCUCUGGGGCAGUUUAAGACUCUCCUCUCGUCCUGGGGUGCCCAGAGAGUGGCCACGGCCAGUAGUGGCACCAUGCAGGCUCCUACCCUGCUGGCUUUGGUUGAGGAAAAAUUUCAUCACAGAAGGGGUCAUCAGACAUUGAACGGGCUGCCCAAGGACGUGGUGGCAUCACUGUCCCUGAAGCUGUUCAAGAGAAACCUGGACGAGGCUCUCAGUGCCAUGGCCUGGUUGACAUAGGCUGGACUCAACUACCUUAGAGUCCUUUUCUGGGGUAAUUGAUUCCAAGAUUCCAGAUUCAUAACCAUAUUAAAAUAUUUCCUGUAAAUUUUCUGAAUUGAAGCAUCAAGAGCAAUCACUGCCAAACAUUUCCCAAAUGUAAGCAUACCAGAAGUAAUGAAGUGCCCUUUGACAAAGAGUUAAUGCAUUUUGAAACACGAAAUUUAGCACCCUUAAAGUGAGUUAGCAUAAGUUAGAGAGGAGAUGCAAGCUUACACCCGAAGUGUUAAAACCAGUGCCUGGCAGUCUGUGGUUCCCACAUGCUACACUGAAACUACAACAGCUUUUUCUGUCAUGCAGUGCCAGCAGCCAUAGGUGGUGGGUUUAAUAAGGCAUUUAAGGAAACUUGGAUUUAGAUAGUAAAAACCCUCUCAGGAAAAGCCAUUUUUCUCCCCCCACGAAAAACUGACAAAGAAUAUAUGAAAGGGGGAAAAAAUUAUACAAGCAGGAUGGGAUUAAUUGAAACUUAUGUAUUUUCAAUAGCUGGGAGGAUUUUGUUUCAGGUUCUGCAGCAUGGAUUCUGAAUUUUAUCUAGAGGUACAUUUAUAAGACUCAUUAAAAGGUUUUGCAUUUAGAAUCCAAAGAAGGGAGAGUCACAAUUCCACAGUAAAUUAACCUGGGUUUAAUCAGAUCUAAAACUCUGUUUCCUGCUGGAAGAUUUGGUGUUGUUAGGAGGUACUACGCAAACCCAAUAAAACAUGUAGGGUUGGGGGAAAUGGCCUCUCAGAAGGUCUUUGUGCUGCCCGUCUGUUUCCACAGCAGAUUUCUCCACUUGAACCACUAAUAAAAUUUCCUCACAUCAGGAUGAGGUUUCUGAAUUUGUAUUUUGUAUACAUAGCCAUGUUCUUUCUGAUUCAUUUAGCCUCAUCAACAACAAUAAAGAUACUGAAUCAGAACAAGCUGGCAAUUUUGUUGAUGAAACAUGGGGAGAGCGGACUCCAGCUGGCUCUUCAGCAGAUACAUUGGCCAGUUGACAGGAAUAAAACUGCAAGAAACCUGACACAGAAAGCACACGUGGUGAGAGGAGACAGACAGCAGAGGCAGGCAGGUUCGAAAUCGAAGAGAUCGGCAUCUCCCCUUGCCUUUAAAGGAAGCUGCAGAGUGUGAUGAGAGCUCCCCUCUGUCUCCUCAUCUCUGAGCUGAAUAAAUGCAGUGAGCUAA